ensembl:lncRNA
GGGGCAAUGGGGACAUUGGGGGUAUUGGGGGCAAUGGGGUGGGGGGGACAAUGGGGAUAUGGGGGGCAAUGGGGACAUUGGGGAUAUUGGGACAAUGGGGAUAUUGGGACAAUGGGGAUAUGGGGUCACGGGGACGUUGGGGAUAAUGGGGACAGUGGGGACAAUGGGGAUAUGGCGAUAAUGGGGGCUACACAGGGGACAAUGGGGGGACAAUGGGGUUAUGGGGACAUUGGGGGCGAUGGGGACAUUGGGGACAAUGGGGACAUUGGGGAUAUGGGGACAUUGGGAACAGUGGGGGGGACAUUAUGGGUAUGGGGGACAAUGGGGAAAAGUGGGGGGAAAUGAGGGAAAAAUGGGGAGAUAUGGCUAAAAAUGGCCCAAAAUGGGGACAAAUGGGCACAAAUGGGGACAAAUGGCCCCAAAAUGGGGACAAAUGGCCCCACGUGGCCCCAAAUGGCCCCAAAAUGGCCCCAAAUGGGGACAAUGGGGACAAAUGGCCCCGAAGGGCACCAAAAUGGGGACAAAUGGGGACAAAUGGCCCCGAAAUGGGGACAAAUGGCCCCAAAAAGGCCCCAGAUGAGGACAAAUGGGGACAAAUGGGGACUAUGGCCCCCAAAUGGCCCCGAAUGGGGACAAAUGGCCCCAAAUGGGGAAAAAUGUCCCCAAAAUGGGGACAAAUGGGGACAGAUGGGGACAAAUGGCCCCAAAUGGCUCCAAAAUGGUCCCAAAAUGGGGACAAAUGGGGACAAAUGGCCCCCAAAUGGCCCCAAAUGGGGACAAAUGGCCCCAAAAUGGCCCCAAAUGGCCCCAUGUGGGGAUAAAUGGCCCCAAAUGGCCCCAAAAUGGUCCCAAAAUGGGGACAAAUGGCCCCAAAUGGCCCAAUAUGGGAACAAAUGGCCCCAAAUGUCCCCAAAAUGGGGACAAAUGGGGACAGAUGGGGACAAAUGGCCCAAUAUGGCCCCAUAUGGGGACAAAUGGCCCCAGAUGGCCCCAAAAUGGGGACAAAUGGCCCCAAAUGGCCCCAAAA